GGGAGCUAGUAGAAUCGGUUAUAUUGUGUUUGUAUGCUUGUGUGUGCCUGUGUGUGUCAUUGUCUCAUGUGCCUGUCUGUGUCUGUAUACCUUUUUGUGUAUCCCUGUACCUGUCUGCAUCUCUGUUGCCUGUGUGUGCCCUCAUGUUUCGAUCUGUACUUGUCUUCUCUGUAAAUAUGUGUGCCUGUCUGUGAUAUGUGUGCCUGUGUAUCAGGGCUGUACUGGGGAAACAAUUUGGCCCAGCAUAUUUAAAUCACAGCAGGCACCAAAAGGGGGCGGGCCAGGGAGGGUAUGUUUUGUCAUCAACAAUCACAAGCAAGCCCCUUCUCAAAGUGAGCAUGUUGGUUUAAUGUUAUUCCAGGGCAGCCCAUGCACAGAGCCCUGCUGAAGAGCUCUCGAAUGAGAAAAACACCCUGAAUUUGUUCUGCACAGUGCUAGCAAAUCUAUUAACAUACAAAAUACCAAGUAGAUAAGCUGGCGCAGACCAAAUUAUUAAAAACAAUACGUGGGUUAAUAUGCAGCACCAACAGAAUAUCUAGGUAAUAUGGUACAGACAAAUAUAAAAACAGCAAAAGUGCUAGUGCGCAAGAGUAUAUAUACCAAGACACCUUAAGUGUGGAGAAGUGACUCUAAGAUGUAUAUGAGAGAAUUAUAAUCCCCAACAAGAACCAUAUGUGUCAGACAUUGAAAAAUUAAUGAUCAGAUGAAGUGAUCCUAUGAUCACGAAACGCGUAAGGCGGCACUCUACAUCGAUUUCCAGGAGAGCAGGCUGGAACGCAUCCAGAGCCGCAGUGGAACGCACGCGGCUGACAGCCAGUUCUCACGCAGCACGAGGAGGUUCACACUCGAUUUCAUCCGGCCGGUGAGAAAGUUAUUUACAUCAUUUGGACCCUCAGACUGUAAACUUGGCAGCAACUGCUCUUCACAUUUGGGAAUCUAUUUGUCUUUUAUAUAAA